AGAGUUUGAUCCUGGCUCAGGAUGAACGCUAGCGGCAGGCUUAACACAUGCAAGUCGAGGGGCAGCGCGGGGCGGCAACGUCCUGGCGGCGACCGGCGGAAGGGUGCGUAACGCGUGAGCGACAUGCCCGUUGCCCGGGGACAACCGGUGGAAACGCCGACUAAUCCCCGAUGGGAUACGAUGCUUCAUGGCAUUGUAUUGAAAGUUACGGCGGCGACGGAUUGGCUCGCGUCCGAUUAGCUUGUUGGCGGGGUAACGGCCCACCAAGGCUACGAUCGGUAGGGGUUCUGAGAGGAAGGCCCCCCACAAUGGGACUGAGACACGGCCCAUACUCCUACGGGAGGCAGCAGUGAGGAAUAUUGGUCAAUGGGCGGAAGCCUGAACCAGCCAUGCCGCGUGCGGGAAGGAGGCCCUAUGGGCUGUGAACCGCUUUUGCCUGGGGGCAAUAAGGGCGUCGCGCACGUCCGAUGAGAGUACCAGGCGAAUAAGCAUCGGCUAACUCCGUGCCAGCAGCCGCGGUAAUACGGGGGAUGCGAGCGUUAUCCGGAUUCAUUGGGUCUAAAGGGUGCGUAGGCUGUGCGUCAAGUCGGGGGUGAAAUUCCGGUGCUCAACACCGGGGCUGCCCUUGAUACUGUCGCGCUGGAGUGCGGAUGCCGCCGGAGGAAUGAGUGGUGUAGCGGUGAAAUGCUUAGAUAUCACUCAGAACACCGAUUGCGAAGGCAUCUGGCGAAUCCGUAACUGACGCUGAGGCACGAAAGCGUGGGGAUAGAACAGGAUUAGAUACCCUGGUAUUCCACGCCGUAAACGAUGAUGGCUAACCGCCGGCGACACACUGUCGGUGGCCAAGCGAAAGCAUUAAGCAUCCCACCUGGGGAGUACGCCGGCAACGGUGAAACUCAAAGGAAUUGACGGGGGCCCGCACAAGCGGAGGAACAUGUGGUUUAAUUCGAUGAUACGCGAGGAACCUUACCCGGGCUUGAAUUGCAGAGGAAGGAUUUGGAGACAAUGACGCCCUUCGGGGCCUCUGUGAAGGUGCUGCAUGGUUGUCGUCAGCUCGUGCCGUGAGGUGUCGGCUUAAGUGCCAUAACGAGCGCAACCCCUCUCCUUAGUUGCCAUCAGGUUAAGCUGGGCACUCUGGGGACACUGCCACCGUAAGGUGUGAGGAAGGUGGGGAUGACGUCAAAUCAGCACGGCCCUUACGUCCGGGGCUACACACGUGUUACAAUGGCAGGUACAGAGAGACGGUCCCUUGCAAAACGGAUCAAAUCCUUAAAGCCUGUCUCAGUUCGGACUGGGGUCUGCAACCCGACCCCACGAAGCUGGAUUCGCUAGUAAUCGCGCAUCAGCCAUGGCGCGGUGAAUACGUUCCCGGGCCUUGUACACACCGCCCGUCAAGCCAUGAAAGCCGGGGGCGCCUAAAGUCCGUGACCGUAAGGAGCGGCCUAGGGCGAAACUGGUAAUUGGGGCUAAGUCGUAACAAGGUA
rnacentral:rRNA from 1 species